GGCGUAAAGAGCUCGUAGGUGGUUUGUCGCGUUGUUCGUGAAAUCUCACGGCUUAACUGUGAGCGUGCGGGCGAUACGGGCGGACUUGAGUACUGCAGGGGAGACUGGAAUUCCUGGUGUAGCGGUGGAAUGCGCAGAUAUCAGGAGGAACACCGGUGGCGAAGGCGGGUCUCUGGGCAGUAACUGACGCUGAGGAGCGAAAGCGUGGGGAGCGAACAGGAUUAGAUACCCUGGUAGUCCACGCCGUAAACGGUGGGUACUAGGUGUGGGUUUCCUUCCUUGGGAUCCGUGCCGUAGCUAACGCAUUAAGUACCCCGCCUGGGGAGUACGGCCGCAAGGCUAAAACUCAAAGAAAUUGACGGGGGCCCGCACAAGCGGCGGAGCAUGUGGAUUAAUUCGAUGCAACGCGAAGAACCUUACCUGGGUUUGACAUGCACAGGACGCCGGCAGAGAUGUCGGUUCCCUUGUGGCCUGUGUGCAGGUGGUGCAUGGCUGUCGUCAGCUCGUGUCGUGAGAUGUUGGGUUAAGUCCCGCAACGAGCGCAACCCUUGUCUCAUGUUGCCAGCGGGUAAUGCCGGGGACUCGUGAGAGACUGCCGGGGUCAACUCGGAGGAAGGUGGGGAUGACGUCAAGUCAUCAUGCCCCUUAUGUCCAGGGCUUCACACAUGCUACAAUGGCCGGUACAAAGGGCUGCGAUGCCGCGAGGUUAAGCGAAUCCUUUUAAAGCCGGUCUCAGUUCGGAUCGGGGUCUGCAACUCGACCCGUGAAGUCGGAGUCGCUA
rnacentral:rRNA from 1 species